GACGAACGCUGGCGGCGUGCUUAACACAUGCAAGUCGAACGGAAAGGCCCUGCUUUUGUGGGGUGCUCGAGUGGCGAACGGGUGAGUAACACGUGAGUAACCUGCCCUUGACUUUGGGAUAACUUCAGGAAACUGGGGCUAAUACCGGAUAGGAGCUCCUGCUGCAUGGUGGGGGUUGGAAAGUUUCGGCGGUUGGGGAUGGACUCGCGGCUUAUCAGCUUGUUGGUGGGGUAGUGGCUUACCAAGGCUUUGGCGGGUAGCCGGCCUGAGAGGGUGACCGGCCACAUUGGGACUGAGAUACGGCCCAGACUCCUACGGGAGGCAGCAGUGGGGAAUAUUGCACAAUGGGCGGAGGCCUGAUGCAGCAACGCCGCGUGCGGGAUGACGGCCUUCGGGUUGUAAACCGCUUUCGCCUGUGACGAAGCGUGAGUGACGGUAAUGGGUAAAGAAGCACCGGCUAACUACGUG
rnacentral:rRNA from 1 species